rnacentral:miRNA from 1 species
UAGGGAAGAAGUUAGGGUCAGU